rnacentral:rRNA from 1 species
UACGAAGGGUGCAAGCGUUACUCGGAAUUACUGGGCGUAAAGCGUGCGUAGGUGGUGAGUUAAGUCUGUCGUGAAAGCCCCGGGCUUAACCUGGGAACUGCAUUUGUGACUGCAUCGCUGGAGUGCGGCAGAGGGGGAUGGAAUUCCGCGUGUAGCAGUGAAAUGCGUAGAUAUGCGGAGGAAUACCGAUGGCGAAGGCAGCCCCCUGGGAUAACACUGACGCUCAUGCACGAAAGCGUGGGGAGCAAACAGG